rnacentral:lncRNA from 1 species
AACUUCAGUAUUAUCCCUAAUAAUGCCCAGAGACUUCAAGACCUUUGUUAUCUCAUCUUCCUCUAUCUUCUCUUCAUCAAUAACUUUGUCAUCCUCAAAGAUAGUAGCUUGACAUUCUUCUUUAGGGUUAACUUCGGUAUUAACCCUAAUAAUACCCAGAUCUUUCAACGCAUAUGAGUGUUGUUCCUGCAAUUAACGUUCUUUGGCUUCCCC